UUCACUUCGGUGAAGAGUGGCGAACGGGUGAGUAAUACAUAAGUAACCUGGCAUCUACAGGGGGAUAACUGAUGGAAACGUCAGCUAAGACCGCAUAGGUGUAGAGAUCGCAUGAACUCUAUAUGAAAAGUGCUACGGGACUGGUAGAUGAUGGACUUAUGGCGCAUUAGCUAGUUGGUAGGGUAACGGCCUACCAAGGCGACGAUGCGUAGCCGACCUGAGAGGGUGACCGGCCACACUGGGACUGAGACACGGCCCAAACUCC
rnacentral:rRNA from 1 species